ACGAAAUUCUUAUCGGCUAGGCUCGGUAGUGUUAUGUCAGCUACACACUAUCAACGAACUCGGACACAUGCCGACGCGAGUGAAUGAUCAUUCCGUAGUUUAUAUAAGAGCUUUUAUUUACCGCAAAAAAAAAAACAGAAGUGUACGCAGAAUCCGCAAAAUUUUGGCGAACUAUUCAGCGAUAUUGUAUAUCAGGCAUUAGCGUAAACUAUGUUUCUAGAGUGCGUGUAGCCGUGAACUGAAAUAAAAAAAAUAAAACAAGAACAGUUUCAGAGUUACAAAUGGGAUAAUAUUGCUAUACGUAUACACACUGUACGUAGGUAAUAUAAAGUCUGUAAAGAAUAUGAAGAAAACGGAUUAUUGACGAACUACAUUUUUUGCAAUUGCAAUACUAUUGGUAGAUAAACAACCAACCAAUGUUGCGAGCCAAUAGGAGACAGUGACCUCAUUAAUUUCUUCACUUUCUUGACAGACUGUAAUUUUGGACUGUGACUUGGAAUAAAAAUGUCCAACUAUAGUUGGACAUUUAUAUUGAUGUAUCUAAUCCAAAUGAAACGGGUUACGCCACUUUAACUCCAACCCAUAAAUGGAACAGACGAUACUACUAACACCCAUUGAUUUCAAUAUACAAUUUUGCAUUUGUAAAUACAUCUUGGGAAAAUACUUCAUAGAAAAAAUGGUCAAGUCCCAGAUUCCAAUCCUAAUCCACAUGAGUGAAACAAAACAUCGAUAAUUCUAUUGAUGUUUUCGAUUUGGCGUCGGAUGGCGGUAAUAAGAUCGGCUCAAAUCGGUGAAAUUUAACUUUCAAUCAAGGAUGGAACAAGAGAAAUUAAAGAAAAGCUUGUAACGUGACUUGUGGUUGUACUUCGGAAAACUUUCGGAACCGAGUUUCUUUUUGAAGUCUGAGUCUGUGGUUCUAAUUAGUGUAAAAAAGAUCGUAUAUAAUUUUAUAUGUUCAAAUAAGAAAACGAAGAAACUUACAAUGAAAAUUAUUGUGAAUUAUCCAAUUCAAUAUUUUAUUUCCAUAUAUGCAUUGAUAUUCUCGACAAUUGAUAUUCUCAGAAUUGAGACAAAUGUCAACUUAUUAAAACAAUGUCUAAA